UACGUAGGCAGCAAGCGUUGUUCGGAGUUACUGGGCGUAAAGGGUGUGUAGGCGGUUGUUUAAGUUUGGUGUGAAAUCUCCCCGGCUCAACCGGGAGGGUGCGCCGAAUACUGAGUGACUAGAGUGCGGGAGAGGAAAGUGGAAUUCCUGGUGUAGCGGUGAAAUGCGUAGAUACUCAGGAGGAACACCGGUGGUGUAGACGGCUUUCUGGACCGUAACUGACGCUGAGACACGAAAGCGUGGGUAGCAAACAGG
rnacentral:rRNA from 1 species